UACGUAGGGUGCAAGCGUUGUCCGGAAUUAUUGGGCGUAAAGAGCUCGUAGGCGGUCUGUUGCGUCGGCUGUGAAAACCCGGGGCUCAACUCCGGGCCUGCAGCCGAUACGGGCAGACUAGAGUUCGGCAGGGGAGACUGGAAUUCCUGGUGUAGCGGUGGAAUGCGCAGAUAUCAGGAGGAACACCGAUGGCGAAGGCAGGUCACUGGGCCGCAACUGACGCUGAGGAGCGAAAGCAUGGGGAGCGAACAGG
rnacentral:rRNA from 1 species